rnacentral:rRNA from 1 species
CCUACGGGCGGCAGCAGUGGGGAAUAUUGCACAAUGGGGGAAACCCUGAUGCAGCGACGCCGCGUGAGUGAAGAAGUAAUUCGUUAUGUAAAGCUCUUUCAGCCGGGAAGAAAAUGACGGUACCUGUGUAAGAAGCCCCGGCUAACUACGUGCCAGCAGCCGCGGUAAUACGUCGGGGGCCAGCGUUAUCCGGAUUUACUGGGUGUAAAGGGGGCGUAGAUGGCAGUGCAGGUCUGGAGUGAAAGGUGGGGGCUCAACCCCCGGAGUGCGCUGGAAACUGUACGGCUGGAGUGCAGGAGAGGUAAGUGGAAUGCCUGGUGUAGCGGUGAAAUGCGUAGAUAUUAGGAGGAACACCAGUGGCGAAGGCGGCUUACUGGACUGUAACUGACGUUGAGGCUCGAAAGCGUGGGGAGCAAACAGGAUUAGAUACCCCGGUAGUC